rnacentral:rRNA from 1 species
CCUACGGGGGGCAGCAGUGAGGAAUAUUGGUCAAUGGGCUUACGCCUGAACCAGCCAAGUCGCGUGAGGGAAGACUGCCCUCUGGGUUGUAAACCUCUUUUGCCAGGGAGCAACGACUGCCACGUGUAGCCGGACUGAGAGUACCUGAAGACAAAGCAUCGGCAAACUCCGUGCCAGCAGCCGCGGUAAUACGGAGGAUGCGUGCGUUAUCCGGAUUUAUUGGGUUAAAAGGGUGCGUAGGCGGAAUGCCAAGUCAGCGGUAAAAUCGCGGGGCUCAACCUCGAUCCGCCGUUGAAACUGGCGUUCUUGAGUGGGCGAGAGGUAUGCGGAAUGCGUGGUGUAGCGGUGAAAUGCAUAGAUAUCACGCAGAACUCCGAUUGCGAAGGCAGCAUACCGGCGCCCAACUGACGCUGAAGCACGAAAGCGUGGGUAUCGAACAGGAUUAGAUACCCGUGUAGUC